rnacentral:lncRNA from 1 species
UGAUCUCGAACUUCUUGGCUCAAGUGAUCUGCCUGCCUUCCAAAGUGCUGGGAUUACAGGCAUGAGCCACCAAGCGCAGCCAUGAUUUAUUAGAUCACUUCUAAAAGCCCUCUCUCCAUCUCCAAGCCAGCAAGUGCUUCUUUGCACCCCAGCUCUAAAACAAAGCCCUUGGGGACACAAUCAAAGACAGUAGUUGCCAAGAGGAAUAGGGAGCAUGGAAAGAAGAAAUCAACUCUAAGGAAAGAAGUAGGCAGGAAACCUGUUGAAAGAAAAUGAAAGCAUUAUAUUUCAGCAAUUACUUAAAUCCUGCAAGAAGAUCAUGUUUGAUGGAAAGCAGUUGGUGUAGAUAACUGAAACUGCAGAAGAGAAAACUGUGAAUAAAAGGGAACAACUGUACCCUUACAACCACCACUGUAAUCAAGAGGUAUAACAGCUUCAUCAGUUCAACACUGAAACUGGACAUUGUAGAAGAUGAAUUAUGAGAGUGAUUUAUGAAAGAAAGACAGUGGAGAAUUGCAAUCGAUGGAGACAUUCAAAGAAAAGACUUUGGCACUACAUCAAAAAUGACGAAACUAAAGCACAAAGAGAUUAAAGAACUUAUCCAAGGUCAUGCAGCUGGAAAGAAGUGGAUUUGGGAUUGUGAACAUCACAAUUUCACAAACUACAUUUCAUGAUGGGUAGAGCUAGUCAAACGUCUGAAAAUAAAGUUUGGUUUAAAGAUGACCAUCGUCUUGUUAAGAAAUUAUAUAAAUGAGUAUCACUAAAAAGUCUCUCUUUAAACUCACCAAGCACUCUUCACUAUGGACAAGAAAGUGUGAAUAUGGUUAUUUUUUAUUUAAUAUUUUCAUGAUGAUUAACUGAAGGAUCUGACAGUAAAUAGUCUUUGGGUCUUUUUAAACUAAAACUCCUGUUGUUGUUGAUAGCAAUUGAUGCAAUUGAUAGUAAUGUGCUGUAUCCCUCAGAUGUAUUCCAGCUGAAGAAGGUGGAGAGCCACUAAAAUUUAUUGUUCUAUGUCAUUUUUCCAAAUCAUCUUUUGAUGACUGUCCAUCUACAUAUUGCUCAGUGGCUUUAUAUUUAGAACAUUAUUUGGGAAAUUGUAAUUUCAAAUAUUUUAACCUAUAAAUAUUCAAUGAAGCCUUGGCAAUGAAGAGUAAGACUUUAUAAAACCUUGAAUAUAUGAAUAGCACAGUUCUGGUUAUCUAUGUAACAACAUCCCCCAUAGUAACCUAAAACAAUGACAUUACUAUAUCCCAUGAUUCUGUGGAUUGCCUGGGCUUAGGUGGUAAGUUCUCAGGGUGUUGCUCAUUGUCACACCCAGAUAGCAGCUAGAACUAGAGUCAUCUGCAAACUCCUUUUUCUUGUGUGGACCAUCCAAGGUAGGUUUCUCAUGCACAUAUCUAGUGCUUUGGUGCUUCUUGGCCUCUCUCUUUCCACAUUGUAUCUCAUCUUCCUGGCCUCUCCACAUGGCUUGGGCUUCUUGUUGCAUGGUGUUACGAGGUACUCACACUGCUAACACAGUAGCUGACUUUCAAGAUACACAAAUUGGACCCUUUUAGACCAAUUAAGGGCUAUGGUGAAACUGGAGCAGUAUCACUCUCAUUGUAUUCUAUUGGCCAAAGUAGCAGAGGGCCUGAUCAGACCCAAAGAGGUAGAGAAAUAGAUUCUACUUCUCAAUGGGGGAGUACCAAGUUCAUAUUGCACAAGGGGAUGUAGAAUGGGAACUAUUGUUGUUAUCAUUAGGUAAUACAGUCUGCCUAAAGUACUAUAUCACCUAAUUAGACUUGCUUUGCACAUGAUGACCAGGAGGAAACAAGAUACUGUUUUGGAAUGUACUCACUAAGCAGCUGCCUAGAUGCUGCUUACCUAACAAGUGCCUUGUUUCCACUCAAGGUCAUGGAUCUUUGGGAGUCUAAUAAGAGUGAUGAAAAAUUAUUCAUAGGUCUCCUUCCUUUACUAUACAAUCCUCGCUGCUAAGAGAAAGAUGGGCAAAGGACCUGGGAUGGAUAUCUUUGUGAAUCUAUCAAUAAUGGAUAAAAUAUCUCAUUUGUCUGCUUUCCUUAUUAUCUAAUUCUUCCCUCUUAGAGGAGUCUGAGCAAAGGAGCCUAGACUGGGUGUAUGGUGGAGAGUCAGUAACUAGGAGUAGAAUCUAAAUCAAAUCAAUAGUGUCCUAGUUAACCAAAUCAAAGAGUAAAUGUACAGAAACACAGGAAACCAUGCAGGGUAAUCAAGACUAAAAUUCUGGGUUAUAAGGAACAGCCUAAAACAAUUCUGAGUUGCAAAAUAAAUGGCACCAAUAAUCUUAUACUAAAUUUCAGAAUGUUAGGAUAGGCCUUAUUCUGCUUAAGAUCAGAAUUGGUUCAAGAUACUGGGUUGGAGUUGAACUAGAAGGUUGUAGGUUGGUAGCCCCAGCUAGAAGGAGAGGCCUAGGAGGAUGCCAAGGAGUAAUUGGUAAGUUGCAAAUGUUGAGUUCCUACCAUGGACUUCUGCAGCAAUUGGUGACUGAUUUGUUAGAUGUUGCAGAGAGACUCAAAACAACUAUCAAUCAUCCUGUUAAUUAAAAAUAUUCAUUGGAUUU